CUACGGGGCGGCUCCAGCAGGGAAUAUUGCACAAUGGACGGAAGUCUGAUGCAGCGACGCCGCGUGGAUGAUGAAGGCCCUCGGGUUGUAAAAUCCUUUUCAGGGGGACGAGGAAGGACGGUACCCUUGGAAUAAGCGUCGGCUAACUACGUGCCAGCAGCCGCGGUAAGACGUAGGACGCAAGCGUUAUCCGGAUUUACUGGGCGUAAAGCGUCUGUAGGCGGAAUGGUAAGUUGGACGUGAAAGCUCCGGGCUCAACCCGGAGAGGUCGUUCAAUACUGCCAAACUAGAGGGCAUCAGAGGAGCGUGGAAUUUCCGGUGUAGCGGUAAAAUGCGCAGAUAUCGGAAGGAACACCAAUGGCGAAGGCAGCGCUCUGGGAUGAACCUGACGCUAAGAGACGAAAGCUAGGGGAGCGAACAGGAUUAGAUACCCGCGUAGUC
rnacentral:rRNA from 1 species